AGUCUGACGGAGCGACGCCGCGUGGAUGAAGAAGGCUGAAAAUGUAAAAUCCUUUUGUUGAUGAAGAAUAAGGGGAAGAGGGAAUGCUUCUCUGAUGACGGUAAUCAGCGAAUAAGCCCCGGCUAAUUACGUGCCAGCAGCCGCGGUAACACGUAAGGGGCGAGCGUUGUUCGGAAUUAUUGGGCGUAAAGGGCAUGUAGGCGGUUAUGUAAGCCUGAUGUGAAAUCCUGGGGCUUAACCCUAGAAUAGCAUUGGGUACUGUGUAACUUGAAUUACGGAAGGGAAACUGGAAUUCCAAGUGUAGGGGUGGAAUCUGUAGAUAUUUGGAAGAACACCGGUGGCGAAGGCGGGUUUCUGGCCGAUAAUUGACGCUGAGAUGCGAAAGUGUGGGGAUCGAACAGGAUUAGAUACCCUGGUAGUCCACACCGUAAACGAUGUACACUACGUGUUGGGGCAAGAGCUUCAGUGCCAAAGCAAACGCGAUAAGUGUACCGCCUGGGGAGUAUGC
rnacentral:rRNA from 1 species